GAUGAACGCUGGCGGCGUGCCUAAUACAUGCAAGUCGAGCGAACGGACGAGAAGCUUGCUUCUCUGAUGUUAGCGGCGGACGGGUGAGUAACACGUGGAUAACCUACCUAUAAGACUGGGAUAACUUCGGGAAACCGGAGCUAAUACCGGAUGAUAUUUUGAACCGCAUGGUUCAAAAGUGAAAGACGGUCUUGCUGUCACUUAUAGAUGGAUCCGCGCUGCAUUAGCUAGUUGGUAAGGUAACGGCUUACCAAGGCAACGAUGCAUAGCCGACCUGAGAGGGUGAUCGGCCACACUGGAACUGAGACACGGUCCAGACUCCUACGGGAGGCAGCAGUAGGGAAUCUUCCACAAUGGGCGAAAGCCUGACGGAGCAACGCCGCGUGAGUGAUGAAGGUCUUCGGAUCGUAAAACUCUGUUAUUGGGGAAGAACAUAUGUGUAAGUAACUGUGCACAUCUUGACGGUACCUAAUCAGAAAGCCACGGCUAACUACGUG
rnacentral:rRNA from 1 species